UCUGACGGAGCAACGCCGCGUGAGUGAUGAAGGUUUUCGGAUCGUAAAACUCUGUUGUUAGGGAAGAACAAGUACGAGAGUAACUGCUCGUACCUUGACGGUACCUAACCAGAAAGCCACGGCUAACUACGUGCCAGCAGCCGCGGUAAUACGUAGGUGGCAAGCGUUGUCCGGAAUUAUUGGGCGUAAAGCGCGCGCAGGCGGUCCUUUAAGUCUGAUGUGAAAGCCCACGGCUCAACCGUGGAGGGUCAUUGGAAACUGGGGGACUUGAGUGCAGAAGAGAAGAGUGGAAUUCCACGUGUAGCGGUGAAAUGCGUAGAGAUGUGGAGGAACACCAGUGGCGAAGGCGACUCUUUGGUCUGUAACUGACGCUGAGGCGCGAAAGCGUGGGGAGCAAACAGGAUUAGAUACCCUGGUAGUCCACGCCGUAAACGAUGAGUGCUAAGUGUUAGAGGGUUUCCGCCCUUUAGUGCUGCAGCAAACGCAUUAAGCACUCCGCCUGGGGAGUACGGCCGCAAGGCUGAAACUCAAAGGAAUUGACGG
rnacentral:rRNA from 2 species